GUGGGAAGCCUUUGUCAUAGGGUAAAAGUUGCAUACCCCUGUGCUGUAGGCUUCACACUUUUGGUCAAAUAUCAGGUUCUGUAGCUGUGUAUUUUAUAGGAACAAAUCUGUUCUACAAUGAUUAUUUUCCUUACCUUAGGAUGACCUGAAUGCCUUGGUAACGUUAUUCAUUUGAGUGUCGCUCCUCUUUUUGAAGAUGUUGAUGCUGUCUUCAAUGACACACAAAUCAUAAACCUGACGCCUGGCCUUGCUACUCAGUGUGGAUUCAGCUUUAAAUUUGACCCCAUGGGGAAUGCCAUGUUUUUUGCUUCUCUUCAAAACUGCUUUUCCAAAAACAGCACUGUAGUGUUUGCUUGUACUUCAAAUUGACAGUUUGCCUUUCAGUGUCACUGCAUUUGCAACUUAUACUGUAGCAGUUUUAUUUACCUUUGACAUGGAGUCAUGCUGAGACCAGGCUCUUUUACAGAUGAGCCCUGUAUACACAGACACAAGUCAAUAUUUGCAUCACUAGAUGGGGAAAAAUGAAAUAAUUGAAAACACCUUCUUCAGUAAAAAGGUCCUCCAUAAGCCUGAGUUGCCUUAGAGGUGCUAAAACACACUUUAGCGCAUGGAGGUUAUUAGACGUACGGUGCCAGAAACAUUGAAACAGUUUUACUUAACUCUGUGGAUAUCUCUUACCUCGACGAUGACGUAAAGUACAGCAGAAGUUUAUGGAGGGUUUUCAGAGGGCCAGGCAACUUUCUGAUAGACUGCAGUGAUGUAAACUAUUGAGCUCUACUCCUGUAGUGUGGCUUCAAUACAGUGGCAGCUGCAUUCAUAUAGCCAAUUAUGCCAGUCUAUAACUUGCAUGAAUGUCACCUGAAUUCUGUUUUUUGCUAU